rnacentral:rRNA from 1 species
AACGCGAAGAACCUUACCUGGGCUAGAAUGCUGGUGGAUCGUGGGUGAAAGCUCAUUUUGUAGCAAUACACCGCCAGUAAGGUGCUGCAUGGCUGUCGUCAGCUCGUGUCGUGAGAUGUUGGGUUAAGUCCCGCAACGAGCGCAACCCUUAUUGCCAGUUGCCACCGGGUUAUGCCGAGCACUCUGGCGAAACCGCACAGGAUAACUGUGAGGAAGGUGGGGAUGACGUCAAGUCCUCAUGGCCUUUAUGUCCAGGGCUACACACGUGCUACAAUGGUCGGUACAAACCGUCGCAAACCCGCGAGGGGGAGCUAAUCGGAAAAAGCCGGCCUCAGUUCGGAUUGGAGUCUGCAACCCGACUCCAUGAAGCUGGAAUCGCUAGUAAUCGCGGAUCAGAACGCCGCGGUGAAUACGUUCCCGGGCCUUGUACACACCGGCUAC